UCUGGCUGCUAUGGCCCCUC
rnacentral:miRNA from 2 species